AGUAAAAUGAUUUAAUUUUGUAGUUGAAACCUAUCAUAUCAAACUUGAUUCGUCAAUAAAUACUUUGAAAACAUUAGAAAUGAAUGAUUUAAUUGUCUUUAUGGAGAACAUGUAAUUGAUAAAUUAGAAUUUUUUUUUCAAUUUUUGAGGGUAAUAUCUUCAACUAGAUACGAAUUGUAGUCAUUUGACGUAUCGUUGAAAAAAUAGGUCAAGUUAGAGCAGAGAAAAUAAAUGAUAGUCACAAAAAAAUAUCUUCUCAGCUUUGCAUCGAAGCUAAAACUUAAAAUAUAGUAAAAUAAUUUUAAUACGAAUAAGAAAUUUCUUCUUACAAGGGGCGACUAAAGUGAUGGGAUCCUUGAUCUUUAUUGAAGUUAUUGAAUCUAAAUGAGAUAAAAAUCAAACGAGUUAAAAAUUUAUACUAACUUUAAAAAGAAUUAAGAAAAAAUGCAAAAAAUUCAUUGCUAUACGCGGGAUGGAACCUCGUACCCCAAGCGUGUAAAACAUAAAUCUUACCAACUGGGCAACCGUACGUCGAUGCCGUGAAAUUGAAAAAAAUUGGCUAUUUAAGCUAAAUUAAAUUUCAAAGUUAUUUUUCUCGACUUAAAAGAAGCAAACAAAUUUAAAUAAGUUUAACUGUCUAUGCUAUAUUAAUUUUAAUUUAUAUAAUAUUUAUGAAAAUCUGUACUCCCAUUGUCAGAUAUUUUAAAAUAAAAUAAAAUACAAAACCCAGAAUUUUAACACAAAAAUAGCAAAUUUUUGAAUACGGUAGUCAUUUUUACCAUGAAGACAAAUCCAGAGGUCAAAUUCUUUUUUUUUUCAAAUUAAAGUAUAUUACAUAAGCUUUAAUUUAAGGUAUAUAUAAAUGUGUCAGUCUUUCCGGAACAUUUUCAAAAGUUAAGUUGAAAAAGUUAAUUUUUUGUAAAAAAGUUACUAUUUUGAAACCCUUUCUGUGGGCUGUUAAAGGGUCAAAUGUUCACAAAAAUAUAUAAAAUGAUAGGUAAAUAUCUAAGGUAUCUAUAAAAAAAAAAAUUAUAUUGAUUCGAUCAUUUUUAAAAAAGUUAUGGCAAUUUUAAGUAAAAAAAAAUGAAAAAAUAUCGAAAAUUAGCGAUUUUUAAAUUUGCAAUUUUUUGAGGGUAAUGUCUUCGACUAGAUACGAUUUGUGAUCUUUUGACAUAUUGUUCAUCAAAAUCGGUCCAGCGAGAGCUGAGAUUGAGCGUUCACAGACACAAAAAAAAAAAAUAAAAAAACACAUCA